CCCUUAUCCUUUCAGCUUUAGCAGGGAGAGACUGAGAGGGAGUGAGCUUCAAACCCCUUUUGUAUCUUCUCCAAUCUUUCUUCGCCGCAUUCCUUUUCAUCCAUCGCCGGCGACCACAAACAAGCUAGAGAUUCCUCUUCCUCCUCGGUUCAUGCAACAGUUGCGGUGAGGGUGUGUGACGGGACUUCUUUUUUCUUUUUGGCCCAUGGUUGCACUGCUAGUUGGUGCUGCUUGCUCUUUCCGCCGCUGAUUGAAGGUGAGGAGCUUCGAACUCCCUCCUCCUUGUUGGUUCUGUUCGUGUAUGUGUGUUUAAAUUGCAAUAAUUGUGAAUUAUUCCCUUUCUUUAUUGCUAUGUGUGUCGUAUAUAUGAGGAAGGAAGGGUUUAAAUAAGCUGAAAAUUUUCAGUUUAACGUGCAAGAUGAGGAUAGUGUUGAUUUGAAUUUUAUUUGAGCUUAAUCUGAUUCUUGAUGGGCUAUGGUUUUGAAAAGUAUGAUAAAUCUAAAUGUUGAUGCUGAAUUUUUUUUUUUUUUGGCAGAUGAUUGAUGGAUAAGAAGCUCCAUUGAGUAAAUUAGGAAUUGAUGCAUAUUAAGUGUUUGUUGAAAGGUUUGAAGGAGGAUUAGAUCUCAUUUAAAUAACUAGUUAUGGCUAGAGGAGUAUAUAUGAAGGAAAUUGGUGAUAAAUAAUGAUGCUUGGGAAAACUUUUAGAUAAUGAAUUUUCGUAUUCUUUUUAAAUUUUCCUGAUUAUGUGAAAAUUGGGAAGUUUAAUAAACUCAUAUAUUGACAUUAGAAAAUGUUAGGAUGAGAUUGAGGAGGAAAGAACUUAGAUGUACAGUGUUCACACUAAUGUCUAGGAGGUGUUUGAUAAAAUGUUUGUAAGAAGAAAUUUUGAAUUAUAGUGGUAAAAAAAAUAUUGUGAUGAUUGUAUUGCUGUAAAUUAGAACUAUGGAAGGCAAUUGUUUUCUACAAUGAAAGUUAGAAUGGAAUUAGAGAUCUUUUUUUUUUUUUGGGGGGGGGGGGUGGGGGAAUCGUUUGGUUUCCAAAUUCAAGCUCCAAAUUGUUUACACACAGACACACAUCUUGAAGAUGUCUAUGGAAUAUUUGAUGCAUGUCUGAAAAUGGUUAGAGUUAAGAUUUAUCUAUUCUACACCUCUGAAUUUUUGCACUGUAGAUUCUUGGAUGUAAAGUGUGAUGUGUGUGUGUGUACAUCCAUGAUUUAAAUUUAACUACAUGUGCUUUAGAAGAGUUGGAAAGUAAAAAAAAGUUAUUAUAUAAACAAAGUGCUGGAUAGAAAGUAUAUAUACACAAUACUUCAAGGAUUGAAAGGUCAAAGUUAUAAAUUGGGCUGAUUUGAGAAUUUAGUUGAUUACAGUAUUGUUAAUAUUGGAAAAGAGUUUAUUAAACUUGAAUGUAUGUCAUUAAGUUUUCUUUUUAUUUGUUAAUGGUAUUUAGAGGAAGGAAGAUUUGAUUGGAGCUCUAAAGAGUGAAUUUUAGUGCUUGAGAACAUUACAGGUAAGAUGAGGAUGAGAAGACUAUGGGAAGGUGAAAAUCGAUGCUGACUGUGAAGAUGAGGAUGUUGCAGCUGCAGUGAAGUCAACCCUGUGCUUGUGUUUCUCCAAUCAUUUUUAAUUUCACUUGUGCUUUCAUAUGCAUAAGUUGAGUCAGAUCAUAUUAAUUAUAUUUAAUGUCUCAAAAUAUGGUGGCCUAACCUUAUGCUUAAAUCUGUGCUUGUUGCUACAACCAAUACCUGUCUUUCUAGAUUAUGCUUUAAACAGUUCUUUCAUAGUAAUUCAAUUGAGCUUUUAUUUUAGAUUACAAUCAAUCAUGUCCUUCGCAAGAGCUUGUGGCAACGGAUCUGCAUGGCUUGGAGUGGAGGUUCCCUGUUAUAUUUUUUUAAUUCUUAAUAUGUAUUAGGAUUUAAUUUCUAGAGUUGAUCAAAAUACUAUAUCCUGUUUUUGUUUCUAUUUUGGAAUACAAAUGUAAUUGCAUUGCAAAUGUAGAGUUGUUCCUAAGAUUAGGCCUUUUUUCGGGGGCUGAAUUUUUUUUGUGGAGUUUGCAUAUGUUAAGAAAAAAACAGAGCUUGCAACUCGGGAAGCUGAUCAAAAAAGGAGAGAGAGGCUAGUAUCUCAGUUUUUUGAAGUUAGUAAAUUUUAUGUUAAUUAGUUUGAGUCUAAAUAUAAUUUAUGUAUUUUUAGUACUUACCAGAGGUAUGGAUAUAUCUACUUUUGGCGGAGGUUUUUUAGUUCUUCAUUUACUUAUAUGCAUUUAAAAUCUUUUUUGUUGUGCACUUUAUUUAUGAAGAGUGUUAUCAUGCGCUUUUGUUUUUCUAGAGGCACUUCGGGAUGGUCAGAUAGAUUUGUCUUAGCUUGGAAUUGAUCCAAGUACAUUGAUUUCUGAAGUAAUGGCAAGUUUACUUUGUAAAGGUGCUCUUUGGUUCACUAUUUUGUAUUUUGCACAUGUGUGACACCAAGACAAACGGUGGAUGGAAAUUAACUUCACAUCUUUUAGGUGCCAUAUUAGUCUUCUUUGUUUUUUUUUUUUUUAAAAAAACUUUAGAUAAACUACUUAAAUAAAAGGCAUGAAUGUUAUGAUUUACACGUGGCAUGAAUGCAGCUUUCUUCCAAAGAGUCUUCAUAUGUUCUUGUUGCUUGUCCCAUCUUCCAAAAAUUUAUUGAUACUUGGCCUACUGAUCUCAUUAUAGAUUUUCAUCUUGAAAGAUCUUUGAGGACAAUCAAAAUUGAACUUUUAGUGCAGAUGCAAGUAAUCUAUCCUGUUUCUAUGUCAAUUUUAUCUUCACGAUUAGAAUAAGUUCCAAAAUUGUUUUACCUAAGUGUAAAAAUAGAUUUCACCAUGGCACACGUGCAUUUAGUAAUCAUCUCUGUAAUGUUUUUGUUCUGCCCCUUCGUUGGUUUUUAUAUUCUUAGUGUGACUGUAGAGUUGCAAUGACAAUAUUCAAAGGUUUUGUACAUAUAUGUUUCAAGGGAGUUGACUGCUUGAAGUAUGAUAAUUGUGAGGAUACACAUGGUCUUAGUCCAAAGGAAAGGUAUCAAUGUGAAGCAUUUAAGUGAACAUAAGAGGCUGUUUAUGGAAGAGGAAAUUGAUAAUUACGUUUUGUGAAUACAUGCACCCCAUAGUGAGUGAAGUUCUAAUAAAAUAUGGAAGGUCCACUUUAUUCUCUAUUUAUGAAUGGGACUUUGCGUCAAGUAUAUGGUAAUGAUUGCAUUUUGUGAGUUUUGUACCUACCAUUACAGUUUUGCUUUUUUUUUUAUUUUAGGAAUAAGUAUAAGCUUGAAGCUUUUCAUGCAGAUAGUUUUUUUUCCCCCUUGUUAGGUUUAGUUUGAAGAAUUGCAGAACAAUGAUAUCUUUUAUUUUGGCA